GGGCCAGAAGGUUGAGAACCACUGCUCUAAACCCUACCCUGGCCUUGAUGGCAGUGGCUGAGGCGUGUCCAUGGUGACGAUAAAGGUGAACCCAGCACCUGCCUCCACACUUGAAUUUGGUCUUCACAGCCGCCCUGUGAGGUCAGCAGAGUGGGAGUUAUUCCUGUUCGACAGAUGAAGAUGCACUCAGUCUCCUACACAGGUUGGAAGGUGACCCAGGUCUCAAACUGCAGCCUCCUGACUCUAUGUGGAUAUUCUUUCUGCUGGAGGCAGACUCAGAAUCCUUCUCAACACAGUGCUUCAGGCAGCCCCAGCCAGUCAAUGUGAGUAGGCAGAGGAAUUCAGUUCAAGUAUUUAUUAAGCACCUGCUCUGUGCCAGGCUCUGUUCGAUGGAGGGGACACAGUGAUGCACAAGACAAAGUCCUGCUUUUAUGAAGCAUAAUAUGUCUGGUUGGGUAAGAUGGACAGACGGGUAAUAGAUAAAUAAGAAAAUAGCAGACAGGGACGAGUGCUAGGCAAGCAUCAAGAGGGCGAUGUGGUCAGGGAAGACCUCUCUGAAGAGGAGACAGGUAAGCUGACACUUGUUUUGAGAUGACGAUCACCCUUCAGUUGUGAAGGAAAAUUUCUGAAAAUCUAGUCCUGUUGGGGCUGGGGCUGGGGCUGGAGUAGGAGGAGAGUGCAAUUCAGGGGGAAAAAUCAAGCAAACUUACAAGGUGUACCGGUUAAUAAUGCGGAUUUGUUUCAAAGAUGGAGUUACACAUAUGUUGAUAUAUAUGCGAUUUGAUAUGUAUGCUAUUUUGUUGUAUUGACAACAAGCUUCAAAACUUCAUAUGUCAAAUUUUCUGAAGGUGUUAACAUCAUAGAUGUUUUUACACUUACUAAUGUAAAAAUGUCGAAUUUCAUGCCAAAAAAAAGAGCAUUUGAGGGAAGUUUUAAUUCAUUACUUUAUUUUGAAGAAAAUGAAAGUUAUUAUAUACUUCGGGAAGCUUAUGGUGAACAUGCU